UCUACUAAGUUGACCUUGCUUUCUAAUUUAAGUUGAUUACAUGGGAUAAGCAAAUCAGAAAUUUGAGAGAAUUAAAAGAUCUACAGUUAUGUUAAGCGGACAGAAGUUGAGCUCCAUUGAUUCGUAAAAUUAGGUUUUUCAAGUGUUUAAUAUGCAGAUUGGUGAAGCGUUUGAGGCUGAUCAUCUCGACUCUACAGUUCCUAGGGUUUGCUACAUUAAGCGGUGUUUUCAUUUGAACUUUGAUAUUCACUAUUUUUUGUAGCUUAAAGAAGUACAUUGUUAGUGAACAUAUCGGUUAAUUCUUAUAUAUAUAGGCGAGCUCUAGCGGGCUAGUCAGGUUUGAUUUAUGACAUUGCUUGUCGGUGUGUGGAGAAAGGUCGUGAAGAGCGGCCGCCGAUGGCUGAGAUUGUAAAAGAACUUAAGUUUUCACUCAAGCAACAAGUAAUCUUAAUUUCUUAUUGUUUUCUGAACGCUUCCAAUUCUUGAAUGUUAAUUGAAUGAAGAAAAGAUAAAACUUUUUUACAUGAGAUGCGACUGGAUUUUCCAGAACACUUUAUUUAAAUGACGUUUUGCUCCAAGUGAGGCAUCAGAUGAUUCAUUCAUUUGCAAGUUUAAAAACUGGCAGAAUAGUGAUUUUCUUGGCUGUGGCUGUGUCAGGGAGGCCAUCAAUGUAUUUUUCAAUUGCCUUAUCCAAAGGCGUAACCAUGGUAGGACAUAACAGACUUAGUUCCUCGUAACGGUCUGUCACACCCCAACCAAUGGCGGAAUCAUCGGAGUGGGACUUGUCAAGAUUGUAAGAGACUUCAUAACACUAUUUGUGACAAUAUUUAAUUCAACCGAUUUCAUUUCAUAAAUAAAUUGUCAAAACAUUACAAGAAAAGCAAAUAACAACAUUGUUCAACAUAACAUAAACAAAAUUGAUACAACACUUUAAACCUAAACGUCUAAGUGAGUAUCUAGGCAUCUUUGCUAUCCAUUUUCAUAGCAUCAUCAAUCAUCAACCUGUAACAUGUUUAAAAUACAAUUCAAUGCAAAAGCAAAUGCGAGUAUACAAGUUUAAGAAUAAGUAUAAGUAUAAAGUUUAAAACGAAUCCACAUGGCAACUUAGUUUAUACAAGAUCAACCUAACAUGGCAUGCAAUAUUUCUAGCCAAUCCUCUGUUUACGCAACAAUGAUAUAAUUCAACAUGACCACAAGUCUACGGGCGGUGCGUUACUCCUAUAGCGCUAUACAUGUCGAAUGGAGGCUCGUGAAAGCUAAUGACUAAAACAUAUCACAUAAGUAUGGUCCACGUAAGCACCAAGUAUCAUAACAUUGUAUUCAUGUAUAAGGAUUGUUUUCGUGUAUUGCAUAAAGAAUAAGUUUAAGUGUAGUUUAAUAGUUAAACAUGUUACACCCCAAAAAGUGGUAAACAUAAAAAGGGGGUUGCGAGUAUACUCACAAAAUUUGCAUAUGCCUUCCGAUUAUCCAAUGUGACGAAAUUGAUGAGGCUAGAAGGUUGAAUAUGUUCGCUGUUAGGGCUGGAUUUUUAUUAUACGUGAUCCUUAUACGUGAUCCUAACCAGUGAUCCUUGUUUCUUUGGCAGACAGUGAUCCUCAGCAGGACUUCAGGAUCAGGAUCAUGGACCAUCAAAGGAUCCUCAUGCUAACAGUUACCUUCGUUUAAAACAAUGUUAUUUUGCAGGAACAUCUAGCAGGAUACGCUCUUAGCAUCAUAAUCAAGGGACGCGUCUUCACAAUUAUAGCAUGAGCUUAAUCGAAGAUAGACGUUGCAAAGGAUAUGGAAACUUAGCUUGAUUUAUGGGCGGCAAUUUAGGCUAGAUUGUCUUUUAUUUCUAAAGGGGUAAUGAGCUGAUUAUUAGUCUUUUUACCUAAAAUAGGUCACCUACACUUGUAUAAAUACCACUCUUCCUCAUUUGGAAGAACGGACGACGACACACAACACAAUUCUCACACGCUUAGACACUCGAAACUAUAGUGAUCCUUGUACUCAGCUCAUUGUCAUCCGAAGUUGUAACAAUAUUUUUCUUAUAUUGAAGUUGGUGAUCGGUAGUUGCCAUCACCCGAGGUUUUUUAUGCCGGAGAUCAUACAUUGAUCAAGGGCUUUUUCCUCGUAUAAAUCAUUGUGUCUUUGCAUAUUUCUC
rnacentral:lncRNA from 1 species